CAAUAGCGUAUAUUAAAGUUGUUGCGGUUAAAAAGCUCGUAGUUGGAUUUCUCCGCCGAAAAGCUGGUCCGCCCUAUGGGUAGGAAUCCAGCUGGUCGGUGGAUCUUCAUGGCGAACAGGGUGCAUUUAACCGUGUGACCUGGGAGUCAUGACUUUUACUUUGAGGAAAUUAGAGUGUUCACGGCAGGCUCACGCCUUGAAUACAUUAGCAUGGAAUAAUAAUAUAGGACUUCGGUUCUUUUUGUUUGGUUCGGAGGGCUGAAGUAAUGAUUAAUAGGGACAGCUGGGGGCGAUUCGUAUUAUCACGUCAGAGGUGAAAUUCUUGGAUUUAUGAAAGACUAACUACUGCGAAAGCAUUUGUCCAAGGAUGUUUUCUAUUAAUCAAGAACGAAAGUUAGGGGAUCGAAGACGAUCAGAUACCGU
rnacentral:rRNA from 1 species